GGCCUCCCGGUGCCUACUGCAGGCGGACGUGUCCUUAUGCUGACAGCACAGAAAGGGGAGGCAAAGCCAAACCACCGCAUAUGCUCCUCGGCCCAGGUCCUUUGCCUGGUAUGUAUUGUGAAUGGGGGACAUGG